ACAACCUUCAAAAGAACUCUUCUUUGCUGGACCAGGCUAUGCUGGAGUCCACCGAGUGAAGUGUAAACGACACUGUUUUAGACGGAGUCAGGUAAGCUCGUACAUGAGCUGUAUGCCAAGCUUUUUGUUGCCUGAGCCCUUAAAAGGACGUAUGGAUACAGCAAGUAUGUUGAACGCACAUAGAUUAUGCAUUAAUUUACUAUAUAAUCACUAAAAUUUUAAGUAUAAAAACUUCAAUUUUUCUUCUUUUACAUACUUGUUUUUCUAGCUGACUCAAUCAUGCUCUCAUCACUGAUUUUGGAAAGAAAACAAAUAAUAAACAGACAAACUUAUGCUCUCUUAUUCUCAACCUUUUCUCCUUUUCCUCUAAGGAGGUCCCACGUUGCAGCUGCUGGUUUAGUUCGCAAAACCCAUAAAACCAGAUGAAAGUUGAUCUGACCAUAUCCAACACAGGUGACGGGUCUCAUAUGUACACCCGUGUCUUAUCAUGUCCAACACCAAACUGGCCAUAUUGAACAGACAUUGUUGAUACUGAAUGACACGAGAAUCUCAAGCUAAAAGGAAGAGCCAUGGCCUCAGGCUUCGCUCGGCAGUUUCAUUCAAAUAAUCUAUAGAUUGGUUUGAAG
rnacentral:lncRNA from 1 species